UUAGGCAUCCAGGUUCAGAAGGAAAUCCAGGGUCCCUCAGCAUGGCUUACCAGAGAGUGGUAGGACUUAAAGAACUAAGAGUAAGUGUAAAGUGAGGGAUUAGAGGAAAACCAAUGCAAAAGGUGGUCAUACCUAGCCAUGAACAGGGCUGGCACACCCCUGGCCUUUUACAUAGCUUAAACAAAUAAGAGCAGACUUGAAAUAAGUUAGACAUAGGCCUAUACUCAUGAAUAAGGAAAACCAAUGCAAAAGGUGGUCAUACCUAGCCAUGAACAAGGGCUGGCACACCCCUGACCUUUUACAUGGAUUAAAAAAAUAAGAGCAGACUUGAAAUAAGCCAGACUUAGGCAUGUGUGAUGAUUAGGACAUCAACAGACCUGAGUCAAGCUCAACACAUAAAUGGGGGUAAGGGAAUGGUACUGAUUUGAGUAGAGGUUGAAACAAUCUGGUUCCGAACUAAAGGUGGCAAUAGAGUGCCAAUCUAGUCCAAAACAAUACUCACAUACAAAAGAAAAAAAGGUUCAGGGAAAUGGACCAAAUAUGAAAGCAUUUGCAUAAAAACAGAAACAAAGUCAAACAGAAGUCAACUAAAGGGAUUUGGGGAGAGGGAAAUACAUGAAAGCAUUCAUACAAGCAUACAAUAUUAAAACAUAGGGGUAUAGGGGUAGGGAAAUACAUCCUGAAGUUUUAACUGCAUAAUGAACCUAAAUAGAUAUGUGAAAAGAAACAAUUAAACACGUAGUUUGGAGAUGGUAUUAAAUCAUAGACCUACCAGUUUGCAACUUCAAAUGGUAAAGCAAAUAUGGCAAAUAGAACCUUAUAGUUUGGCCUUGGCUUUCAGGCGGCUAAACUUGAUUAGCAGAACAAGUAAUAGAGAAAAACAGAGAGGAGAAGAGAGAAUUUUUUGAGUGUGAACUUGUAUUGGUCGUCCUGUUUGAAGUGAAGAGAAAUGGGUUUUUUAUAGUCUCAAAAUAAGUAGCAACUAAGGGAGGAAAAUAAAUCAGUAUCAAUCAAUAUCAAUUAGGGAAAGGAUUCCCUUUAAUGAAGGAACCGUACUUGAGGUAAAUAGGCAAGGUUCUAUUUUUGGGAAGAAAAUCAUGAACGAGUUGUAAAAUAAAGGGUAAAUACGUGUAUGAUUUUUGAAAUACACACGAUUUAAACAAAUAAGGUAAAUAAAAUCAUCAAUCUCAUAGGGAAUCAAGGAGACUGGGAUACGAAUUGAUACUGAAUUUAGUCAAAGAUCAUGUCCAAAUUAAAGAAUCAAAUAAGUUAGUAAAAUUAGUUUCUCAAAAUUAAGGUCAUUUUGAAAAGGGGAAGGCUGACCAUAAAAGGAUGCACAAAUUCAAACAGUCACGAAAUCAGAGAGCAAAAGAACAUAAGCAUGAAAUGGAUUAGAAAUUAUUGCAGAGCUUAGCAAGAAAUCAGAAGCAUGAAAAGGGACUCAGGUAACACACAAAAUCGAAAACCCCUAAAGUCUAGGGUUUCCUCCCAUUUCAAAAAUGUAGAGAAGAAAGUAAAAAUACUCAGAUUGCUAAACUCGGAAAGAACACAGAUACUCAUGAAAAGCAAAGUACAAUAGAGGGUCACUAGAAAACCCUAGGUAAAGAGAAAAUUACAUGGAAUCAUGGGUAAACCAUUUACAAGUCACAACACAAAAAUAAAGAAAUCAUAGUAGAGCAGUUAAAAGAAAGAAAAAUCGGAAAAAUCCUAGUUUUAGGAAGAUAAACAGUUUGACAAAAAUAAAAUCGGUAAAAAUCAGAAAACGCUUUGAAGCUUUAGAAAAUAACUUAGAUCUUAAGUAGAUCAUGACACAAAAAAGAAAGAAAAACCUUAAGAUUUAGGGUUUCAGAGAGAAACCUAGAGAAUGAGAAAGCCUGGAACAUACUGGUUUUGAGUCGAUAACAGACUCUCAACAUUAGACUCGCCGGAGAGAGACCAGACAUGGUCGUAGAACUCAAGUCGUGCACCUCUCAGAUAGUGAUCUUCACAAUAGGGUUUCAUUCCUCGAACAAAAGGGUCGUAUAAGGGAUUGAGGGGUGGUACAGGUAGCAUGAAGCCUGGAAAGCCAUGGUCGGUGAAUAGAGGUCAGAAAGUGACUGGAGGCGGCUAGGGUUUCAUGGGGGCUUUGGAGCGUUUGAGAGAUGAGGGGGAUACAAGG
rnacentral:lncRNA from 1 species